rnacentral:rRNA from 1 species
GAGGAAUAUUGGACAAUGGGUUAGCGCCUGAUCCAGCCAUCCCGCGUGAAGGACGACGGUUCUAUGGAUUGUAAACUUCUUUUAUAUAGGGAUAAACCUACUCUCGUGAGAGUAGCUGAAGGUACUAUAUGAAUAAGCACCGGCUAACUCCGUGCCAGCAGCCGCGGUAAUACGGAGGGUGCAAGCGUUAUCCGGAUUUAUUGGGUUUAAAGGGUCCGUAGGCGGGCUUGUAAGUCAGUGGUGAAAUCCGGCAGCUCAACUGUCGAACUGCCAUUGAUACUGCAAGUCUUGAGUAAAGUAGAAGUGGCUGGAAUAAGUAGUGUAGCGGUGAAAUGCAUAGAUAUUACUUAGAACACCAAUUGCGAAGGCAGGUCACUAUGUUUUAACUGACGCUGAUGGACGAAAGCGUGGGUAGCGAAC